GAAGACGAAGAAGAAACAGAGGUAGAGGAUUGGUCCCGUGUGGUGUGAAGGUGAAUCAAAUGGAAGAACUGAAGUUGUUUGUCUUUAGACGGCUCCAGGCUGCUGCUUCUGAAGUACUUGGUGCUACAGAAAAAAUAUAACAAGUUACACGGAGCAGGCGACCCGUCUGAAGGAAGAAAACGAGCGUAACCGCUGGACAUUAUCAUCAAAUCCAACUUUGGACUUCAGAGAGCCUUACGGAGACGCAGCGCUCACAACAACUGCAGAUCAAAGACGAGCUGGUGGAAAAGGGUAGCAAUCAAAUGAGAGAACAAAGCCUAGAGCCAAGCCGGCCCCAGGACUACGACUAUGUCGUCAUUGACUAUGUGAACAGUUUUAUGGAGAUAUGAGUGAAAGCAGCAAGGGAUGGUCUCUUUUUGCACCUUCAGCUCAGGCAAUGGAAUCUCUGCCCAAAUGCACGGUGUGUGAUGUAUCAGCACUGACUUGGGAAGCUCUGCACUCUACUGGAAUCAGUGCAGUUUCCAGAGAUGGAAAACGCAGCAAGACUGAGUCAAAGGACACAAAAACACUUUGCUCAAGUUCACAUGCGCUCAGAUCAAAGACAAAACUGUGUGUGAAAAGAUUGUUACUUCCUGUGACUUUAACAAAAAGAAGUCAGAUAUCAACCAAUCAAAGCUCCAGUUUCAUAUUCCUAUGUGGGAAGAUUUUCCAUUACAUGUACAGACUGAAAGCCCAUGUGCAAACACAUACUGUAUAAGGGAUAAAAACCAUGUUUGUGGAAUCUGUGGGAGACAUUUACUGUCUGCAGAGAGUUUAGUUCAACACCUGCAAAGCCACACCAAGAAAAACAAGUGUGGUACUUGUGGCAAACAGUUUUCCAGUAAUUCCAGUCUAGAGCGGCGCAGGAGGUUUUACAGACCAAAGGGCCUGAAUCCCAUGUGAUCAGCGUGAAUGUUAUAGCUGGAUGAAAUUCUGUUAAUGCACGGAAACCUGCUGCGUCUUGGUAUAUGGAUCACUAUAGGGACAUUUACUGACUGGAAAACAUCCAUUUUGAUAGAAACAAUAUGUGCGUAUUUAUUGGUUUGUUUGUUUUAUGUGUUCAAAAUAAAAGCUGUCAUCAACAUCA